CACGUAGGGUGCGAGCGUUGUCCGGAAUUAUUGGGCGUAAAGAGCUCGUAGGCGGUGUGUCGCGUCGGCCGUGAAAACCUGCAGCUUAACUGUGGGCUUGCGGUCGAUACGGGCGUCACUGGAGUUCGGCAGGGGAGACUGGAAUUCCUGGUGUAGCGGUGAAAUGCGCAGAUAUCAGGAGGAACACCGGUGGCGAAGGCGGGUCUCUGGGCCGAUACUGACGCUGAGGAGCGAAAGCGUGGGGAGCGAACAGG
rnacentral:rRNA from 1 species